rnacentral:rRNA from 1 species
UCAUCAUCUCGUUGGCUGCGAAUAAUAAGGGGUGGAUAAAAGCGAGGCAGAUGUUAUUGUGUUGUGCAUGCCUAAGAGAUGAUUAUACUUUUAAGAUGAUCCCAAAUCAUGCGUCGAUCCAUGGAUGGCGUUUUGAAU